rnacentral:misc_RNA from 1 species
UAAUAAGUGUUUUAUGGCACUUUUUAAAUCCAUAUCCACCUUGUGUGCAAUGUCAGUCGAUCUUCUUCAUGGAGAUCGACCAAACAUCAACCUUUAUCUUUUAACUCUUUUGUCUGAAAAAUAUUAUGAAUAAACAAUUCAAAAUA